UCYUANGGGAGGCAGCAGUAGGGANUYUUCCGCAAUGGACGAAAGUCUGACGGAGCAACGCCGCGUGAACGAAGAAGGCCUUCGGGUCGUAAAGUUCUGUUGUUAGGGAAGAACAAGUACCAGAGUAACUGCUGGUACCUUGACGGUACCUAACCAGAAAGCCACGGCUAACUACGUGCCAGCAGCCGCGGUAAUACGUAGGUGGCAAGCGUUGUCCGGAAUUAUUGGGCGUAAAGCGCGCGCAGGUGGUUCCUUAAGUCUGAUGUGAAAGCCCACGGCUCAACCGUGGAGGGUCAUUGGAAACUGGGGAACUUGAGUGCAGAAGAGGAAAGUGGAAUUCCAAGUGUAGCGGUGAAAUGCGUAGAGAUUUGGAGGAACACCAGUGGCGAAGGCGACUUUCUGGUCUGUAACUGACACUGAGGCGCGAAAGCGUGGGGAGCAAACAGGAUUAGAUACCCUGGUAGUCCACGCCGUAAACGAUGAGUGCUAAGUGUUAGAGGGUUUCCGCCCUUUAGUGCUGCAGCUAACGCAUUAAGCACUCCGCCUGGGNGAGUACGGCCGNCAAGGCUGAAACUCAAAGGAAUUGACGGGGGCCCGCACAAGCGGUGGASCAUGUGGUUUAAUUCGAAGCAACGCGAAGAACCUUACCAGGUCUUGACAUCCUCUGACAACCCUAGAGAUAGGGCUUUCCCCUUCGGGGGACAGAGUGACARGUGRUGCAUGGUUGUCGUCAGCUCGUGUCGUNGAGAUGUUNGGGUUAAGUCCSGCAACGAGCGCAACCCUUGNAUCUUAGUUGCCAGCAUUCAG
rnacentral:rRNA from 2 species